rnacentral:rRNA from 1 species
UACCGAGGGUGCAAGCGUUGUUCGGAAUCACUGGGCGUAAAGCGCGUGUAGGCGGUUUCCUAAGUCAGGUGUGAAAUCCCCCGGCUUAACCGGGGAAGUGCGCCUGAAACUGGGAGGCUUGAGUAUCGGAGAGGAAAGGGGAAUUCCCGGUGUAGAGGUGAAAUUCGUAGAUAUCGGGAGGAACACCGGCGGCGAAGGCGCCUUUCUGGUCGAUCACUGACGCUGAGACGCGAAAGCGUGGGGAGCAAACAGG